AGGGAGAAGAUGAUCUGGAUCCUGCUGCUCCUCGUUCUGGCCUCCUCUGUCUGUGGGAUGUUUGUGGUGAAAAUGACUCCGACCUUCUAUCAGGCAGAGGAGAACGAUAACGUCACAAUAAAAUGGGACAGUCAGACCAAAACUGACAUGUCUCACACCAA